rnacentral:rRNA from 1 species
GACAGAGGGUGCAAACGUUGCUCGGAAUUACUGGGCGUAAAGCGCAUGUAGGCGGUUUCGCAAGUCGGGUGUGAAAUCCCACGGCUCACCCGUGGAACUGCUGGGCAUACUGGCGAUCUUGGGCCAACUAGGGGCAGCCGGAACAAGCGGUGGAGCGGUGAAAUGCGUAGAUAUCGCUUGGAACGCCGAAGGUGAAAACAGGCUGCUGGGGUUGCGCCGACGCUGAGACACGAAAGCCAGGGGAGCAAACGGG